UCUCUCUCUCUCUCUCCAGUUAGCCAGUCAGACAUGCAUAACGUGGGAGGCCUUUUAAAAUUUAAUUUCUUCACAAAAAUCAGAUAAUUGGAGACCUCAGAGCAUAGUAGAUAUCUCUACAGGGGUGUAAUCCAGGCAGGAUCGUUGUAAGUAAGAGAUGCCACAGACUUCUCACCUGGCUGUAGACGCCUAAAUUUGGGAUUUGGGCAGAUUUUGUUAUGAGCAAGCUGCCUUUUCACACCAGGCUGGCUGAUGGAACAAUUGCACAGCCUACAGGAAUAGUAAAGCACUGUCACAGCUAUGUCAGAGCUGUAUUCUCGUUGGAAAGCAAAGGAAGAGGAUGCAAACUCCUAACUGCAUGCUGGCCUAGCAUGCAUACAGAAUCUGAACCAGCUAUCAACAUACAAGCACAGGCCAGGGGCUCGGAAUACUGCAGUGAGCAACUCACCUCCUGGCUCCCAAAAGCCUGUCCACAAUCUACCAGGCACAGAUGUUGUCAGGGCUGCUGAAAUUCUCCAGCACUCUUCAUGUUUGUUUCAGAUAUACUGCAGCCUCAGUAACAAUUGUUACAUUUCCUCGCU